rnacentral:ncRNA from 1 species
CGCUUCGGUGACGUCGGCGACUAAAACCCAGCAAGAACUCGGGGAGAAAGCACCCCGCCAAGCCCCACCCCUCCCGCCCGCGAUCCUGCUCACUCGGGCGGGUGAACCGUGUCGAACUGGCUGGCUUUCCUCGCCAUUCAGGCCCCACGCUCAGCGCAGGGCAACGCACAACGCCCCACCACAACCGCAGACAUGAGACGGCCCCCGCCGGGACGGCAAUCCCAGUGCGAGGGCCUGACCACCGAGGAAGGUAGAGCUUCCCG